UUAGUAUGUGUGGGCGAGCUACCAGUUAAGCUUAAUCGACGAUCAAAUGCAUUGUUUACAAAAGCUGAUACGUCCCUUCGAAAAACUAAUCGAGAAGUCAUUGUUCAAAAAGCUGUGUUGCCCUAAAAAGAAUAGCGAACAAGUGGGGCAUAAUGAGCAUCCCGUAUUCCCGCGCUAAACCUCUAAUUGUUCGAAAUAAAUUAAUCGGCAGUAAGUUCAAUAUCACUAUUGCAAUGAUUUUUGACCAAUUAAUUGCUUUCGAACCAAAAGAAAUGCAAGGCUAAAGCACAGGAAACUCACUUUGACCCUCCUUCCCUUACUAAUGCAAAAAUGGUACAAGCUUAGAAAGCUCUAAAUUAACAACUCGCGCUCAAAUAACACACAAGUUGAGGGCCUCAUAGUCUAGUCAGUAAAGGCACGGUAUUACCAAGCCGGAGGCGGCGGGUUCGAUUCCCGGUCCGGUCGAGGGAAUCUUUCUGGUUGGACAUUUUCUCGACUUCCCUGGGCAUUGAGUAUCAUUGGGCUUUGCCACCCAAUAUACAAAUUCAUGCAUUGGUAUUUGGCAUCGAAAGCUCUCAAUUAAUAACUGUGGAAGUGCAUUUGGAACACUAAGUUUGAGAGCACGCAAUAUGCGAAAAAUAAGAAGAAAAUAAGAGCCGGCGUACAGUCUCAGUAGGGACGAACGUACUAAAGUCAAAGAAGAAGACGUGUUAUCUAUUAUCGUCAGUGGGUCAAUGAAACCUCGUACCGGCUGAUGAGACUAAAUUGGGUACCUAAACAUCGAGUUGGUCAUAAUUUUAGGCACUAUUCAACGUAUGGUUCUGUAUGUAAAAGGCCAUGUUGAAUUUCUAAAUCACGUAUUUAUUUGCGUUUUCCACCAAACUGGACUUUAGUAAGUGUGCCAAUUAUGGCACUAGUGCUCCAACUUUCAAAUUUGAAAUUAAGUUUCUAAGUUUUAUUUGCUUAGAUAUAUGGCAAAAUCUAAGCCCUAACCAUGCAUCGACAUAAAUUUGGUAAAGAAUUAAUACAAUUUAAAAUUAAGAUAGGGCCAAUUAGAGGACCACAAGGGUCAAAAAAUGGCCCACUACUGCGCUUAAAAUAAUUCCAUAGAUUUUUUUCACAGAGGCCAGAAUAACGAAAAAUGUUUUGAUUGAAUUGAUCUCCGUUAUUCCUAUCUAGCAAUACCUGUACUACACAAGCUUCCAUCAUUUUUAAGUAGGACGUGUAAAUUUUGGCUGCAAAAGCCGUUAUUCACCCUAUGUCGAUUUAUCGCUUUACUGGCCUGUACGAAGAAUUUAUUGUCGCCUUUGAUUUCUGAGAUACGUCCUCAGAUCAUUUUAAAAUACUCAAAUCGAGAGUGAAUUUUCAAACAGCCGUUUCUGCUUUUGUAAACAAAGGUUCAAACGUCAAUUUAUUUAUCGAAAUCCCAAACUUCCCCAGCAUAACGGUGUUGUUAGUUAGCGUGGGCGAGCUAAGAAUUUCGACAAAUUGACGUUUGAAUCUUUGUGUUUACAAAAGCAGAUACGGUUAUUUGAAAAUUCACUCUUGAAAAAGAACUUGUAUUUUUCGAAUCAACUACAUCUAGAUGAACAUUUCAAAAGUUCCUAUCUUCUUUGAUCGAUUCUUUUCAUCGACUUUCUCCUUUGAUAACCACGCCUACUCAAACACAUUUCGUGCUAUUAUACACAGUUUGAUGGCGGAAAUUAUUAUCUUGCGCUUCGAACGUUGAACACAGCAGGGGAUGCUUUUGAAGUUGAGUUAUCAACAAGAGAAAGUCGAUGAAUAGAAUCGAGCAAGACGGAUAGCACCUUCUGAAAUGUUUAUCAGAACUCAGCUGCAAAUGCGUUCCCUGCUAUGUUUAAUGUUUUGUGCACUAGAUAAGCACUUCAUUUACCAAACCAUUAGGCGAAACUACAUCUAGAAAUGUGUUUACAUAGCCGCGAUUACCAAAAGAAAAUGUAGAUUAAUAGAACCGAUCAAAAGAGAUAGGACCUUUGAAAUUUUCAUCUGGAACUAUCUGCAGAAUGCAAUCAUGUUCAUAGCUUACUUUGAAGGAUUCGAUCUUGAAUGGUGAUACUCUAUGGAAGCCUUAUUUUCGAUAGUUCUCGAUUACAUUUUCGAAAGGAACGUAUCAGCUUUUGUAAACAAUGCAUUUGAUCGUCGAUUUGACGUAACUGGUAGGUCGGCGACGCAUUCCAACACUACCCACAGAUAGGGGAUUUUUUCUCCUACCUGAUAGUGAUGUUACGCAGCAAUUUCGUACACGAAGUCCCUGUAGCUUCCGAGACUUGUGCCAUGAAAAGUUCAUUUCAACCCUUAUAACGCCCAACUGUGGUUUCUGUCGCGUAUUACAUUAAUCACCAUAUUUUAGAGCUUCUCUAGUAUAACCGGCAUUAUUUUGCAUAAAAUAUAAGCCCUGUUCUCUCCUAAUCUAUUGAGUGCUAUUUUCGGUAUGUUUAAUAUUGAAUUAUCCAGAUCUUUAUUUUUUGACUAGACGCAAUUUAAGCGCGAGGGGUCAGCAAUUUAAGAAUGCCAAGCAGCAGUUCGUGCAAUUAGUGGGAUGCAAUACAUUGAAACGGUCAACUGGGACCAUCCUUUUAGCAACCGAACAGUCUUCAGUCAAUUUUUGAUAGUUUAAUUUAAAUCCAAUGAUCGAGUUGUCAACUGUUGGAUACUUUUUGUACUGUCCACGAGCCUAACGACUCAAAAGAAUCGUUAUGGUUAAACGUUCUCUUGCCCAUCUUGUACCAUCAGACCUCUGACCCAACCCUAGAGGCCUUUGUUGCUAUUACCAUUCUACUAACAGUUUCUUAGCAUUCUAAAAAUCCGUCACGUGUUCAUGUUCAGAGAAAAACGAGACCCUCCCUCCGUCGUCUUCUAAGUAGCAGGACAUCAAGAAAAUCAAAACAACCAUCCCUCAGCUGCGCAUCGUAUUCUAUUUGUUCUUCUUUCCGAUCUCAGACACUACUCGCAGACGCAGCAGCACGCAGAGAAGGAAAUGAGGCACCCUUUUGCUAGUUCGGCCUUGGACUCGUAGGACUCCGCAGGUUACGGUUUGGUUUAUUUGUAGUUGUUUUUUUUAUUUGGUUAGGACUCUUUUCUCAUUUGACAGUUACAACCUCUUAGUGUUUAUUUACCGGAGGAACUCAUUUGCUCGCCUUGUGGCUUUCGAUGGAAGGCAGUGCGAUUUUUCUCGUUCCUGGAAUAAACGUCGUGGAAAAAUUGCUCGCCCCACCGGAAGUUACAAUCGGAUACAAGUGCGAGAAAUGGCCUGUUGCAUUUCUGUAACCUGAAAGGAAAAUGUUAACAUCUGGGCACAACAGAUCGGAUCCUCAGGGGGGGACAACUUAUGUGACAACUCUUAAAUCUAAUGGCACAUAAAAAAAGAGAAACUCGCUCCAUUGUCCAUCGUGGUCCCAAACUCCGGCGCGGGUUGAUUGCGUAUUUGCUUAAGAUGCGCACUUUGACGCGCACUGGCAGAGCGUUCUUUGGUUCAUUUGUGGUAUUUGGUUUGUGGUAAUUAAUAGAACUAUCAUUAAAGAAUCUUACUCAUCGUCGCCCGUUGGCGUUGUUGUCCGUCCAGCGGAGGAGUCCCACGACGUCGUCCCGUUGCGCUACGUCACAGCGGCAAACUGCUCCUUCAUUAUUGACAUAAAUCUACUAACUGCAUUGUUUUCACAACAUCAGUAAA